rnacentral:sRNA from 1 species
UUCAAUGUGUCCAGAACAUGCGGAAGUACUUACGUGACUGACUUUGUUCACAACUCAAGAACUGUAAGUUCAAUGCAUUCUAAUUUCUUUUCGGAGCCCUAUCCCGAACGAUUAUCGCCAGAAAACAGGUCAGUAAAACUGAAGGCCAGUGCAGAUACUACCACGAAAGCUAAAAGUGUUAAGAUAAAGUUUAAUUUUGAUGUAGAAGGCUCAGAGGAAAGUGAGAAACUAAUGUAUGCAGGAUUACCUGCUCCAGCACAGCAAGGAAGUUUCAGAGGACGGAAGGAUAAAAGUAGAGAUAUGUGUUUUUAUUGUGGCUCAGUUUUCCAGCAGCCGCAGACACCCAGAGCAAAAAUGAAUUUGUGUAUUUCAUUUAACAUAAAGGGUGAAAUGUUUGCUGACACUGAUAACAGCUUAUGUUUUCUCUGCCCUAUGUAUCGACAUGAUGGAGAAGGGACAUCCUCUGUGUCAGCUGGACCCUCAGCAGAGAAUGAACUCAACAUCCUUUUUGUCCGGUACUCUAUGUCACACACUGUGCCAAAAAACGUGUACAGACGCCACUACCAGGUAAUCCCAUGACUGGGAGCCACACUUUUGUUUCUCUCACACUGUUCAACAACAUGAUAACUGCUCACA